UGGAAACAUUGUCUGGCUGCAAGUCUGUAUGAAACAUCUUGGAGGUUUUCAGAGGAUGGCUGAAGGGUCCUCUUCUGCUGUAUGAAGUAAUGGCUUUCAUUGUGAACAGGAGUACAGAAGAAGUGUUUUGAAUACUCACGGUUAGAUAUAACAUAUUGUCUUCUUCCAUCAAACUCUGAGCUGCCAGGUGCGUCUACUCUGAAAAUGAAAGAGGUGGAAUUAUUAAAAGUUAGAUGCCUGAAUGUAGAUUCUGAAGCAACAAGAAUUUCCAGCCAGUGGAAUAAAGGAUGUUACAUGAAGAAGGAUAUUGCUUUAGAAGAAAGCUCUAACAUCUUUAGACACAAGCAAUUACGUGCAAAGGGAGCUGUGGCAAUACAAAGAUAAAUGUAAAGUCCUUUUGAAAUCUUGCUUCCUGUACUCCCUACAUGAAUAUGGACUGUAGCAUGAUUGUCUAAUUUUCAUAGGGAUUAAUUUUCCUCCCAUUGAAUGUAAUGGCAACAUUCCCAUUCAUUUAAAUGGCAACAAGACUAUUCUUUAGUCAUGAA